UCACCAAAAAUCGUGAAAAAAAACAUUUCACGGAUCUGGGUUUUUCCAAAGUUUUGAAUUUUGGUGACCUAAAAUUUAUCUUAACAAUAUUUAGGUAUGAUAUUGGAAAUGUUCUAUCUUACAUGUUUUUGUAAGUUCAUUAACAAUUAUUACCAAUUGUUACGUCGUGUUAUUCAUCUAGUAUUUUUUAAUUAGGUGAAAUAAUUCAAUCUAUUUUAA
rnacentral:misc_RNA from 1 species